rnacentral:rRNA from 1 species
GAUGAACGCUGGCGGCGUGCCUAAUACAUGCAAGUCGAGCGAACGGACGAGAAGCUUGCUUCUCUGAUGUUAGCGGCGGACGGGUGAGUAACACGUGGAUAACCUACCUAUAAGACUGGGAUAACUUCGGGAAACCGGAGCUAAUACCGGAUAAUAUUUUGAACCGCAUGGUUCAAAAGUGAAAGACGGUCUUGCUGUCACUUAUAGAUGGAUCCGCGCUGCAUUAGCUAGUUGGUAAGGUAACGGCUUACCAAGGCAACGAUGCAUAGCCGACCUGAGAGGGUGAUCGGCCACACUGGAACUGAGACACGGUCCAGACUCCUACGGGAGGCAGCAGUAGGGAAUCUUCCGCAAUGGGCGAAAGCCUGACGAAGCAACGCCGCGUGAGUGAUGAAGGUCUUCGGAUCGUAAAACUCUGUUAUUAGGGAAGAACAUAUGUGUAAGUAACUGUGCACAUCUUGACGGUACCUAAUCAGAAAGCCACGGCUAACUACGUGCCAGCAGCCGCGGUAAUACGUAGGUGGCAAGCGUUAUCCGGAAUUAUUGGGCGUAAAGCGCGCGUAGGCGGUUUUUUAAGUCUGAUGUGAAAGCCCACGGCUCAACCGUGGAGGGUCAUUGGAAACUGGAAAACUUGAGUGCAGAAGAGGAAAGUGGAAUUCCAUGUGUAGCGGUGAAAUGCGCAGAGAUAUGGAGGAACACCAGUGGCGAAGGCGACUUUCUGGUCUGUAACUGACGCUGAUGUGCGAAAGCGUGGGGAUCAAACAGGAUUAGAUACCCUGGUAGUCCACGCCGUAAACGAUGAGUGCUAAGUGUUAGGGGGUUUCCGCCCCUUAGUGCUGCAGCUAACGCAUUAAGCACUCCGCCUGGGGAGUACGACCGCAAGGUUGAAACUCAAAGGAAUUGACGGGGACCCGCACAAGCGGUGGAGCAUGUGGUUUAAUUCGAAGCAACGCGAAGAACCUUACCAAAUCUUGACAUCCUUUGACAACUCUAGAGAUAGAGCUUUCCCCUUCGGGGGACAAAGUGACAGGUGGUGCAUGGUUGUCGUCAGCUCGUGUCGUGAGAUGUUGGGUUAAGUCCCGCAACGAGCGCAACCCUUAAGCUUAGUUGCCAUCAUUAAGUUGGGCACUCUAAGUUGACUGCCGGUGACAAACCGGAGGAAGGUGGGGAUGACGUCAAAUCAUCAUGCCCCUUAUGAUUUGGGCUACACACGUGCUACAAUGGACAAUACAAAGGGCAGCGAAACCGCGAGGUCAAGCAAAUCCCAUAAAGUUGUUCUCAGUUCGGAUUGUAGUCUGCAACUCGACUACAUGAAGCUGGAAUCGCUAGUAAUCGUAGAUCAGCAUGCUACGGUGAAUACGUUCCCGGGUCU